rnacentral:rRNA from 1 species
UACGAAGGGGGCUAGCGUUGUUCGAAAUUACUGGGCGUAAAGCGCACGUAGGCGGACUAUUAAGUCAGGGGUGAAAUCCCGGGGCUCAACCCCGGAACUGCCUUUGAUACUGGUAGUCUCGAGUCCGGAAGAGGUGAGUGGAAUUCCGAGUGUAGAGGUGAAAUUCGUAGAUAUUCGGAGGAACACCAGUGGCGAAGGCGGCUCACUGGUCCGGUACUGACGCUGAGGUGCGAAAGCGUGGGGAGCAAACAGG